rnacentral:lncRNA from 1 species
GCACAGAUGAACAUCCUACUGUCGCCGCCGCCGCUGCUGCUGCUUCUCGCAGCCCUUGUGGCUCCAGCCACCUCCAUCACCACCUACCGACCGGAUUGGAACCGUCUUCGAGGCCUGGCCAGGGGGCGGGUGGAGACCUGUGGAGGAUGACAGUUGAAUCGCUUAAAGGAGGUGAGUUUGAAGGAAGGGGGUCCCUCUGAGGGAGUAAGGAGCCCUGGUCACUGACUGGGGGCCAGGUGGGAAUCCCUGUACGGUGAGGCAAGAGACAGGAACCUGACUUGGUAUAUAACCUCAGUGGGCCUCCCUGUCCAUGUCUAGAGAGUCUGAGGCCCUGUUCUCUAAUGCUGUGGUUCCUCCCCAGGUGAAGGCCUUUGUCACUCA